UACGGAGGGUGCGAGCGUUAAUCGGAAUUACUGGGCGUAAAGCGCACGUAGGUGGCGACGUAAGUCGGGUGUGAAAGCCCCGGGCUCAACCUGGGAAUUGCAUUCGAGACUGCAUUGCUGGAGUACGGAAGAGGAGGGCGGAAUUCCCGGUGUAGCGGUGAAAUGCGUAGAUAUCGGGAGGAACAUCAGUGGCGAAGGCGGCCCUCUGGUCCAGUACUGACACUCAAGUGCGAAAGCGUGGGGAGCAAACAGG
rnacentral:rRNA from 1 species